rnacentral:rRNA from 1 species
UUUUCUUUAUUUAUUAAUUUUUAUUUUUUUAUUUUUUUAGUAAUUUUAUUGAAUUUUUUUUUUGUUAUUUACUGAUGAGGUUUUUUAUUUUUAUUUUAAUAUAAUUUUUAGUACCUUUUGUAUCAGGGUUAAUUUAAUUUUUUUUUUAUAAUUUUUUCCCGAAUUUUAAUUAUUUAAUUUAUUAUUAUUUUUGAUGUUGUAUAAUCUUGCUUAAUUUUAAUUUUAUAAUGAGAAGUUAUAUUGUUUUUUAUGAUAUCUGGUUAACUUGGAUUUAAAUUUAAUUUAUGAUCUUUUUUUGUUUUAAUUUUUAUUUUAAGUUCUUAUUAUAUUUAGGAUAAUCUAAAUAUUUUUUUAAAAUUUAAUUUUUUUUAUUUUUAUUAUUUUUAGAAUCAUUAUUUUAGUUCUUAAUUGAUUUAAUUAUUUUUUUAUUAUUUAUUUUUAUUUAAUAUUUUACAUGUUUAUUAAAUUUAACUUUUUUUUUUUUUUAAUUAUGAUUAAAUUAGUAUAAUUUUUAUUUUUUUUUCUAUGAAUUCGACAUAAAUUUAUUAUCAACUGUUUAUCAAAAACAUUUCUUUUAGUUUAUUUUAAAGGUAAUUUCUGCCCUAUGAUUAAUUUUAAAUGGCUGCGGUAUUUUGACCGUACUAAGGUAGCAUAAUCAAUUGUUCCUUAAUUAGGAUCUUGUAUGAAUGAUUAUAUGAGUAAUUGGUUUUAUUUAUUAAAUUUUUAUAAUUUUAUUUUUUAGUAAAAAAUCUAAAUUUUUUUCUUGGGACGAAAAGACCCUAAAGAACUUUUAUUUUUAAUUUAUUAUUUUUUUGUAUUAAUUAAUUUUUAAUUAUUUUUGUUGGGGUGACAGGUAAAUUUAUUCUUUAUUUAUUUUUUAUCAUUAAUUUAUGUUUUUUUUGAUCCAUUUAUGAUUUUAAGAUUAAGUUACCUUAGGGAUAACAGCGUAAUUUUUAUGGUAAGUUCAUAUUUAUAUAAAAGUUUGCGACCUCGAUGUUGAAUUAGGAUUAAGUUAUUAUGCAGUUUUUUUAAAUUUAAGUCUGUUCGACUUUUAAUAUCCUACAUGAUUUGAGUUCAAACCGGUGUAAGCCAGGUUGGUUUCUAUCUUAGAAUUAUUAAUUUUUUUUAGUACGAAAGGACCAAUAAAUUCAAUUUUUAUUGUU